rnacentral:rRNA from 1 species
UACGAAGGUCCCAAGCGUUAUCCGGAUUUAUUGGGUUUAAAGGGUGCGUAGGCGGGCUAUUAAGUCAGUGGUGAAAGCCCCAAGCUUAGCUUGGGAACUGCCAUUGAUACUGAUGGUCUUGAGUACAUUUGAGGUGGGCGGAAUGUGUCAUGUAGCGGUGAAAUGCUUAGAUAUGACACAGAACACCGAUUGCGAAGGCAGCUCACUAAACUGUAACUGACGCUGAGGCACGAAAGCGUGGGGAGCAAACAGG